CCCAAAUUUGAUAAGGAUCACGAAAAUCCUACUCGUUUUGUUAUGGGCUCAAUAUUUCUGGAGAUAUUGGCUACUUCCGGUUACUUCUGGAAAAUUUUCAUGACAAUUUGCAAAAAGUAAAAAAUGAGCUGUAUUACUCUAAAAAUUUCAAAUGUUUUUCUUGCAUGCGUUAGGUUGUUGCUGCUUUUAUUCCGUGUUUUUCUUGCUAUCAACACGUACAGGCUGACCCUACGAGCAACGACAGUUUUAACUACAAAUGUUUAGCGCCUCGUCUUGCAACUAGUAGUUGAUAUUCUUGGUUUAUAUAUUUAAAAUUGGAACCAACUGUUUUAGGCGGAAAACUAGAUGGCGUUGAUGUACGUCUAUGAUUAAUAUUACGAGUGACAAGUUAAAUGGGUGUUUGUUACGUUUAUACCUGUUUAGUGUUUCAAAAGAUUUUUCGUCAAAAAAUUGCGAGUUUUGCCUUGUCAGUUGCUGAACCAGUAGCCUGCCUUCCUGCUAUCAACGUACCACAAGGGAUGCUGACACUUUAAGAAGACCCACAGUAACCACUAUGCCUGAGAAAUGAACAUCACCAUCCUGUUCAGCCUUCAUCAUCCCAUGUAUCCAGAAUCUAAAGCUUCUCUGCUCAGCCAGCCAUCCUCCAUACACUUCAGCUCUUCAUUGUGGCUUCUCUUCCUCUCUUCUUAGCCUGCCAAAUGCAAACAGGAAUAAAGGUUCAUCUCCAUUGCCAUACCAUGAAAUUGAAAAUGUCAUUGUUAAUCCUGCUGCCAAAUCGUCUUCCCGAACGAGUCAUGCAGUUUUAGAUUCCUCAUGGAAUUUCCUUGCAACAUCCACCCAGGCUGAAAAGGGCAUCCUACCAGUUGUGUGGACCAAACC